AAUGGGCGCAAGCCUGAUCCAGCAAUGCCGCGUGCAGGAAGAAGGCCUUCGGGUUGUAAACUGCUUUUGUCAGGGAAGAAAUCUUCUGGGUUAAUACCCCGGGGGGAUGACGGUACCUGAAGAAUAAGCACCGGCUAACUACGUGCCAGCAGCCGCGGUAAUACGUAGGGUGCAAGCGUUAAUCGGAAUUACUGGGCGUAAAGCGUGCGCAGGCGGUCUUGCAAGACAGAGGUGAAAUCCCCGGGCUCAACCUGGGAACUGCCUUUGUGACUGCAAGGCUAGAGUACGGCAGAGGGAGAUGGAAUUCCGCGUGUAGCAGUGAAAUGCGUAGAUAUGCGGAGGAACACCGAUGGCGAAGGCAAUCUCCUGGGCCUGUACUGACGCUCAUGCACGAAAGCGUGGGGAGCAAA
rnacentral:rRNA from 1 species